GGCCCAGGCCCUGAGGGAGGCGGCGGCCGGGCCCAGGGGAGCUCUGGGGGGCGUUUUCGAAGCCUCCCGGCCCAGUGGGGCUCGCGGUUCGGUUUUGCUUGGCCAGCUUGGUUUUCGUGACCCAAGCAAAAGCUUUUCCCUUACCUGGAUCGGAGGCUCUGCAGCGGCAAUCCUCCAGGUGCCUUGCGGUGAAGCGAGGCGGGAGCAGCGGCACCGGCGGAGCGCGGCCGCCCCGGUCCGGCCCCAAGCCGGGGAGAGAAAACCCAACGAGAGCUUCCAGCCCGGCUCUCCGCCUGCCGUGGCUGCCGUGGAGAGGAGCUCGACGCCAGAGAACCACCAGGUCCUUGCUUCUUGCUGGAGCUGCUCCGUGGAAGCUGCGCUCCCCUCAGAGAGAAAGCCCGCGCCGUGUCGCGCCACGGGGCAGCGAGGGGGACUCCGUCAGCAUUUGCCCCGCUCCCCGGGACCUUUUGGGUCUGUGCUCCUCUGUGUGUGCGGGGCGAGGGGUAAAAAGAAUUUACAUCAAGAACUGAAUACAGGAUCUGGAGGAAAUGGUAGAGAUGGAGAAGGACCAGCUAUAAGUACCAGAAGGUGCACACCAAGACAGUGAAGAAAAGGCAGAUGUUGUUGUAGAGCCCGUCCAGCAAGUGACUCAGGGGCACCAGCAGAGCUGUGACAGUUCCAUAUCUCACCUGCUUUGGCAGUGGUUUCUGCAGAGAUCCAGGAAGCAUCUAGAAAAGCCUUUCUUUUAUGGAUUCUGGGAAGGCCUUUAAGAGGUGAUAAAUGUGGGCAGUGACCUUCAAACUAGAACUGGCUUGGGAUCUUAAACCUCAUCCAUUUUCAGCAGAGCAUACGCUUC